GUGUGUGUGUGUGUGUGUGUGUGUGUGUGUGUGUGUGUGUGUGUGUGUGCCUGAGGACAGGUUAAUUGUAUUCUCAUUAAUAAUGUCUUCUCUACAGAAAACCCUCUGAUGUAGAGCUCUAUAUGUUAAUAAUAUGGUUAUUAAUGUUAAUAUUCAUGCUGAUCACGGGUGUUAUUACGGGUAUUAUUACGGGUGUUAUUGCAGGUGAUUUUGCAGGUGUUAUUACAGGUGUUAUUACGGGUGUUAUUACAGGUGUUUUUUCAGGUGUUAUUACAGGUGUUAUUACGGGUGUUAUUAGAGGUGUUUUUGCAGGUGUUAUUACAGGUGUUAUUACGGGUGUUAUUACAGGUGU
ensembl:lncRNA